UACGUAGGGACCGAGCGUUGUCCGGAAUCAUUGGGCGUAAAGAGCGUGUAGGCGGCCACUUAAGUCCUGCGUGAAAUCUUGCGGCUCAACCGCAAGCGGUCGUGGGAAACUGGGUGGCUAGAGUGCGGGAGAGGAGAGUGGAAUUCCUGGUGUAGCGGUGGAAUGCGCAGAUAUCAGGAGGAACACCGAUGGCGAAGGCAGGUCUCUGGGCCACUACUGACGCUGAGAGGCGAAAGCAUGGGGAGCGAACAGG
rnacentral:rRNA from 1 species